AGUGAACGCUGGCGGCAGGCCUAACACAUGCAAGUCGAACGGCAGCACAGUAAGAGCUUGCUCUUACGGGUGGCGAGUGGCGGACGGGUGAGGAAUACAUCGGAAUCUACUUUUUCGUGGGGGAUAACGUAGGGAAACUUACGCUAAUACCGCAUACGACCUACGGGUGAAAGCAGGGGAUCUUCGGACCUUGCGCGAUUGAAUGAGCCGAUGUCGGAUUAGCUAGUUGGCGGGGUAAAGGCCCACCAAGGCGACGAUCCGUAGCUGGUCUGAGAGGAUGAUCGGCCACACUGGAACUGAGACACGGUCCAGACUCCUACGGGAGGCAGCAGUGGGGAAUAUUGGACAAUGGGUGCAAGCCUGAUCCAGCCAUACCGCGUGGGUGAAGAAGGCCUUCGGGUUGUAAAGCCCUUUUGUUGGGAAAGAAAAGCAGCAGGUUAAUACCCCGCUGUUCUGACGGUACCCAAAGAAUAAGCACCGGCUAACUUCGUG
rnacentral:rRNA from 1 species